GCCUUCGUGGUUUAGUGGUCAGCACGCUCGACGCGUAGUCGAGAGAUUUGUGGUUCGAUUCCCGGUGAAGGCA
rnacentral:tRNA from 1 species